CCUACGGGUGGCUGCAGUCGAGAAUCUUCGGCAAUGGGCGCAAGCCUGACCGAGCGACGCCGCGUGCGGGAUGAAGGCCUUCGGGUUGUAAACCGCUGUCGUAGGGGAGGCCGAUCCUAGGAGGAAGGGCCGGCUAAUCUCGUGCCAGCAGCCGCGGUAAUACGAGAGGCCCAAACGUUAUUCGGAAUCACUGGGCUUAAAGAGUUCGUAGGCGGCGCGGAAAGUGGGGUGUGAAAGCCCUCGGCUCAACCGAGGAAUUGCGCUCCAAACUGUCGCGCUUGAGGAAGCUAGAGGUAAGCAGAACUGAUGGUGGAGCGGUGAAAUGCGUUGAUAUCAUCAGGAAUACCGGAGGCGAAGGCGGCUUACUGGACUUUCUGACGCUGAGGAACGAAAGCUAGGGGAGCAAACGGGAUUAGAUACCCCUGUAGUC
rnacentral:rRNA from 1 species